AGUGAACGCUGGCGGUAGGCCUAACACAUGCAAGUCGAACGGCAGCACAGUAAGAGCUUGCUCUUACGGGUGGCGAGUGGCGGACGGGUGAGGAAUACAUCGGAAUCUACUUUUUCGUGGGGGAUAACGUAGGGAAACUUACGCUAAUACCGCAUACGACCUACGGGUGAAAGCAGGGGAUCUUCGGACCUUGCGCGAUUGAAUGAGCCGAUGUCGGAUUAGCUAGUUGGCGGGGUAAAGGCCCACCAAGGCGACGAUCCGUAGCUGGUCUGAGAGGAUGAUCACCCACACUGGAACUGAGACACGGUCCAGACUCCUACGGGAGGCAGCAGUGGGGAAUAUUGGACAAUGGGCGCAAGCCUGAUCCAGCCAUACCGCGUGGGUGAAGAAGGCCUUCGGGUUGUAAAGCCCUUUUGUUGGGAAAGAAAAGCAGCAGGUUAAUACCCCGCUGUUCUGACGGUACCCAAAGAAUAAGCACCGGCUAACUUCGU
rnacentral:rRNA from 1 species